UGACAGACUUAUGACAGCAAUAAAAUGUAAGUUAAAUCUCAAAGUUUUACAGUUUACACAAAAAUUUUAAGUUUAAGGCUAACUGGUGUUAAAUGAUUGGAUUAACCUAUAAUUCUGAAAAAUCUAUUUAUUUCUGAACAUGUUUUCCUCUGUUUCUGUCUUUGCAUUACUCUUUCUAUCUACAUGCAAUGCCAUCAUGAUGGUGAAUAUGGUGAGAUGGAUCACAUGACAGCAUAAAAGGUAAAUCAAAUCUGAAUGUUCUUUAUAUGAAUACAUCCACAUACUGUAUUCACUGUACUGUAUUUCUGAAUAUGUUCUUCUCUCUUUUAUUUGCAUGAAUAUGUCCAACUACAUGCCAUGAUUCGAGUCGUCAAAAUGGCAAACAUGCAGGAUGAAAAUGUUGCCAAUGAUAGCUGCUCUGGAAUGCAGCCUUUUUAUUUUUGAGGGUCUCAGAAGGGAAGAGGC